AUCCACCGAUUGACUAAGGUUUCCAGAGGAAGGCUCGUCCGCUCUGGGUUAGUCGGGUCCUAAGUCGAGGCCGACAGGCGUAGACGAUGGAUAACAGGUUGAUAUUCCUGUACCACCAUUUAUCGUUGUAAGCGAUGGGGGGACACAGUAGGAUAGGCGAAGCGUGCUGUUGGAGUGCACGUCUAAGCAGUGAGACUGAAUGGUAGGCAAAUCCGCCAUUCUCAAGGUUGAGCUGUGAU
rnacentral:rRNA from 1 species